ACGAACGCUGGCGGCGUGCUUAGCACAUGCAAGUCGAGCGGAAAGGCCCUUCGGGGUACUCGAGCGGCGAACGGGUGAGUAACACGUGAGUAACCUGCCCUUGGCUCUGGGAUAGCUCCGGGAAACCGGAAUUAAUACCGGAUAUGACCUCGGCCGACAUCGGCUGUGGUGGAAAGAUUUAUCGGCCAGGGAUGGGCUCGCGGCCUAUCAGCUAGUUGGUGGGGUAACGCCUACCAAGGCGACGACGGGUAGCCGGCCUGAGAGGGCGACCGGCCACACUGGGACUGAGACACGGCCCAGACUCCUACGGGAGGCAGCAGUGGGGAAUAUUGCGCAAUGGGCGAAAGCCUGACGCAGCGACGCCGCGUGGGGAUGAA
rnacentral:rRNA from 1 species